GACGAACGCUGGCGGCGUGCUUAACACAUGCAAGUCGAACGGAAAGGCCCUUCGGGGUCCUCGAGUGGCGAACGGGUGAGUAACACGUGGGUGAUCUGCCCUGCACUUUGGGAUAAGCCUGGGAAACUGGGUCUAAUACCGAAUAGGACCACGCGCUUCAUGGUGUGUGGUGGAAAGCUUUUGCGGUGUGGGAUGGGCCCGCGGCCUAUCAGCUUGUUGGUGGGGUAAUGGCCUACCAAGGCGACGACGGGUAGCCGGCCUGAGAGGGUGACCGGCCACACUGGGACUGAGAUACGGCCCAGACUCCUACGGGAGGCAGCAGUGGGGAAUAUUGCACAAUGGGCGCAAGCCUGAUGCAGCGACGCCGCGUGAGGGAUGACGGCCUUCGGGUUGUAAACCUCUUUCAAUAGGGACGAAGCGCAAGUGACGGUACCUAUAGAAGAAACACCGGCCAACUACGU
rnacentral:rRNA from 1 species